UACCCGCGGCAAGACGGAAAGACCCCGUGAACCUUUACUAUAGCUUGACACUGAACAUUGAGCCUUGAUGUGUAGGAUAGGUGGGAGGCUUUGAAGUGUGGACGCCAGUCUGCAUGGAGCCGACCUUGAAAUACCACCCUUUAAUGUUUGAUGUUCUAACGUGGACCCGUGAUCCGGGUUGCGGACAGUGUCUGGUGGGUAGUUUGACUGGGGCGGUCUCCUCCUAAAGAGUAACGGAGGAGCACGAAGGUUGGCUAAUCCUGGUCGGACAUCAGGAGGUUAGUGCAAUGGCAUAAGCCAGCUUGACUGCGAGCGUGACGGCGCGAGCAGGUGCGAAAGCAGGUCAUAGUGAUCCGGUGGUUCUGAAUGGAAGGGCCAUCGCUCAACGGAUAAAAGGUACUCCGGGGAUAACAGGCUGAUACCGCCCAAGAGUUCAUAUCGACGGCGGUGUUUGGCACCUCGAUGUCGGCUCAUCACAUCCUGGGGCUGAAGUAGGUCCCAAGGGUAUGGCUGUUCGCCAUUUAAAGUGGUACGCGAGCUGGGUUUAGAACGUCGUGAGACAGUUCGGUCCCUAUCUGCCGUGGGCGCUGGAGAACUGAGGGGGGCUGCUCCUAGUACGAGAGGACCGGAGUGGACGCAUCACUGGUGUUCGGGUUGUCAUGCCAAUGGCACUGCCCGGUAGCUAAAUGCGGAAGAGAUAAGUGCUGAAAGCAUCUAAGCACGAAACUUGCCCCGA
rnacentral:rRNA from 1 species